rnacentral:rRNA from 1 species
GACGAACGCUGGCGGCGUGCUUAACACAUGCAAGUCGAACGGAAAGGCCCUGCUUUUGUGGGGUGCUCGAGUGGCGAACGGGUGAGUAACACGUGAGUAACCUGCCCUUGACUUUGGGAUAACUUCAGGAAACUGGGGCUAAUACCGGAUAGGAGCUCCUGCUGCAUGGUGGGGGUUGGAAAGUUUCGGCGGGUGGGGAUGGACUCGCGGCUUAGCAGCUUGUUGGUGGGGUAGUGGCUUACCAAGGCUUUGACGGGUAGCCGGCCUGCGAGGGUGACCGGCCACAUUGGGACUGAGCUACGGCCCAGACUCCUACGGGAGGCAGCAGUGGGGAAUAUUGCACAAUGGGCGGAAGCCUGAUGCAGCAACGCCGCGUGCGGGAUGACGGCCUUCGGGUUGUAAACCGCUUUCGCCUGUGACGAAGCGUGAGUGACGGUAAUGGGUAAAGAAGCACCGGCUAACUACGUG